rnacentral:tRNA from 1 species
CGGGGCGUAGCUCAGUCUGGAUAGAGUGCAUGCUUUGGGAGCAUGAUGUCGUAGGUUCGAAUCCUAUCGCCCCGA